AUUGGACGCUGGCGGCAUGCCUUACACAUGCAAGUCGAACGGUAACAGGUCUUCGGAUGCUGACGAGUGGCGAACGGGUGAGUAAUACAUCGGAACGUGCCCGAUCGUGGGGGAUAACGCAGCGAAAGCUUUGCUAAUACCGCAUAAGAUCUACGGAUGAAAGCAGGGGACCGCAAGGCCUUGCGCGAACGGAGCGGCCGAUGGCAGAUUAGGUAGUUGGUGGGAUAAAAGCUUACCAAGCCGACGAUCUGUAGCUGGUCUGAGAGGACGACCAGCCACACUGGGACUGAGACACGGCCCAGACUCCUACGGGAGGCAGCAGUGGGGAAUUUUGGACAAUGGGCGAAAGCCUGAUCCAGCCAUGCCGCGUGCAGGAUGAAGGCCUUCGGGUUGUAAACUGCUUUUGUACGGAACGAAAAGACUCUGGUUAAUACCUGGGGUCCAUGACGGUACCGUAAGAAUAAGCACCGGCUAACUACGUG
rnacentral:rRNA from 1 species